rnacentral:tRNA from 1 species
UGAGUAUAAUUUAACAAAAAUCCUGGGCAGUGGCCCCAGAAAUAAGGGUUACCCUUUACUCACC